rnacentral:pre_miRNA from 1 species
UUUGUACUCCCUCCGUUCGGAAUUACUUGUCGUAGAAAUGGAUGUAUCUAGAUGUAUUUUAGUUCUAGAUACAUCCAUUUCCGAGACAAGUAAUUCCGAACGGAGGGAGUAGUAU